rnacentral:rRNA from 1 species
UACGGAGGGGGCAAGCGUUAUUCGGAAUUAUUGGGCGUAAAGGGCGCGUAGGCGGCUAGAUGUGUCAAAGGUGAAAUCCCUCGGCUCAACUGAGGAACUGCCUUUGAAACUGUCUGGCUUGAGGCCGGGAGAGGGUAGCGGAAUUCCCAGUGUAGCGGUGAAAUGCGCAGAUAUCAGGAGGAACACCGGUGGCGAAGGCGGGUCUCUGGGCCGUAACUGACGCUGAGGAGCGAAAGCAUGGGGAGCGAACAGG